GGGAGGAGGGACGCGCGAGUCAUCAGAAAGCGCCCCGACCUGAGCGGAAGCGAUGGAGAUUUUAACAGGGGAUUCCAUUACCACAUGCCUUUCUCCUUUAGUGCAUGACUUGAUUUGUAACCUUGGGUUUGAACUCACUGAAAUUUGUGAUAUCAAUAGCAUUGUAACCCAAAAUGGUGAAGUACGCUGGAAAGCAAUUACAGACCGUGUGAGCUAUGCAGAAUUAGGGCACAGUCUGGACUACAGGCAAAGUGUGCAGCGCUUGGGUCCUGUGUGUGAGGCCAUCCAUCUACACAUCUCAUCUCUGAGCAGAGCACAGUUUGAAACUCAGUAUUCACCAUGGUACCAGUGGACAACUUCUCCAGAGCUGUUUCUUGAAAUAUACGAUGCCUUGGAGAGCUCGCAGUCUGCUGCCAUCUCCCUCAGCGUGAUGAAACUAGCUUCCUGUCUGGAACGAGCCUUAGGCGAUGUAUUUUUACUGAUUGGGAAUGAGUGUCCCUUUCUCCUAAGAGAUCUUCUUGCAUCUGCAGAGCUUGCACAUGUCUUUGGACAUGCUGUGAUGGACGUACUAAAAGUCUUCAUCGGGUCUCCCUGUGGACUCAACCUGAGAAACGUCUUGUGGCAUGGCUUUGCUUCCCCUCAAGAUAUUCCUCCAAAGUAAGUUGCUGGUUAAUAACUUUUUCCUUAAUCUGCUUAAGAAUUUGCUAUAUUUUGAAUUUCUCACAAAGAAAGGAUUGUUUUUGAAAGGCAAAGAAUUUGAGACAUGGAUGGUCAGGUUGCACAUU
rnacentral:lncRNA from 1 species